CAGUACCCUUCUGAGGUUAAUCCGCGUUGAUAGAAGCAGGUGUGGUUCAUCUGGAAUCUGUUGGUGUGAACUGCGCGGCGGCGUCCCCCACCAGGCACCACAGCGGGCGCCUCUUGGUAGCAGCCACCGGCCUCUUCUGGGACUCGCCGGAGGGUUUCCACGUCGCCCGCUCCGACGGGGCUGUUCAUCUCCCCUUGAUCUGUGGGACUCCCCGUCCGUCUCAGGUAUGACCCCUUUGUUGGUGAUCUGGGUUGCAGAUAUCCCCUCUGUGUCUGUGGCUUGUCUCGCUGCGUUGUUUAUGGUGCGCUUUUGUCAUGCAGACGUUUCUAAUUUUGCUCUGUCUGGACUUGGCAAUCUUUCUGUUCGUGAUUUGUGCUUUUGGUGUUUAUGUACAAACUCUUUCCCGGUCCAGAAAGCAUAAAAAAGUUUGCUUUGUG
rnacentral:lncRNA from 10 species